rnacentral:rRNA from 1 species
AUUGAACGCUGGCGGCAGGCCUAACACAUGCAAGUCGAACGAUCGGCGGGCGGGGGAGUAAUGUCUGGGAAACUGCCGGAUGGAGGGGGAUAACUACUGGAAACGGUAGCUAAUACCGCAUACCAUCAGAUGUGCCGCGAUGGGAUUAGCUAGUAGGUGGGGUAACGGCUCAACUAGGCGACGAUCCCUAGCUGGUCUGAGCGGAUGACCAGCCACACUGGAACGGAGACACGGUCCAGACUCCUACGGGAGGCAGCAGUGGGGAAUAUUGCACAAUGGGCGCAAUCCGGAUGCAGCCAUGCCGGGUGUGUGAAGAAGGCCUUCGGGUUGUAAAGCACUUUCAGCGGGGAUGCGUUACCCGCAGAAGAAGCACCGGCUAACUCCGUGCCAGCAGCCGCGGUAAUAC